CACCGUCGGGCGGCCAGUCUCCGGCCUUUAGGGAGAAAACGAGCCUGGCGGCUGAUGCUCGCGAAGCCAUGCUCGGCCUACAUCAGCAGAGGAGAGCUGGAAGGAACGGCUAAAGGGGAAGACAGUUGGGUUCCAUUUUGCCUUCCGAGAACCUGCUGGCAGGCACUAUAGAAUACAUGCUGGUCAAACGGAGCCCAGGCCACCAGCCUAGAUGGUGAGAAGUCUCCUAAUCUGGUGAGAAAAAUCGUAUUCACCAACAGCAAUAAAUAAGAG
rnacentral:lncRNA from 1 species